rnacentral:rRNA from 1 species
UGGAAGGGAUGUAUUUAUUAGAUUAAAAACCAAUGCCCUUCGGGGCUCUCUGGUGAUUCAUAAUAACUUCUCGAAUCGCACGGCCUUGCGCCGGCGAUGGUUCAUUCAAAUUUCUGCCCUAUCAACUUUCGACGGCUGGGUCUUGGCCAGCCAUGGUGACAACGGGUAACGGAGGGUUAGGGCUCGACCCCGGAGAAGGAGCCUGAGAAACGGCUACUACAUCCAAGGAAGGCAGCAGGCGCGCAAAUUACCCAAUCCCGACACGGGGAGGUAGUGACAAUAAAUACUGAUACAGGGCUCUUUCGGGUCUUGUAAUUGGAAUGAGUACAAUUUAAAUCCCUUAACGAGGAACAAUUGGAGGGCAAGUCUGGUGCCAGCAGCCGCGGUAAUUCCAGCUCCAAUAGCGUAUAUUAAAGUUGUUGAGGUUAAAAAGCUCGUAGUUGAACCUUGGGCCUAGCCGGCCGGUCCGCCUCACCGCGUGCACUGGCUCGGCUGGGUCUUUCCUUCUGGAGAACCGCAUGCCCUUCACUGGGUGUGCCGGGGAACCAGGACUUUUAC